rnacentral:lncRNA from 10 species
GUUCAUUUGGGGAUUAUGUAAAAUUAAUGAAAUUAGUGCUAUGAGACAACUAUAUGUUAGAAAGGGAAAGAGUUUCUUCCAAAUAUCAGUGAAUCUACAAUGCAGUGAAAGUACAAUACAUUCAAGUAAGUCUUUUUUUUUUCUUUUUUUCUUCAACAGGUUUGUUAUACUCAAAAUGUACCAGGAACAGGAACAAAAGUAUUUUAUAAAAUAAUUAAUUUUUAUGGGCUAUGAGUCCCAAAUGGUUAUGUAAUCAAAGUGGAAGCAGAAAAGCAUGGCUUAGAAAAUAAUUGGUCAUGUCAUGUCACGCUUAACACAUGUGCAGCUCUGUCGCCCAGGUUGGAGUGCAAUGGCGCAAUCUCGGCUCACUGCAAUCUCUGCCUCCCGGGUUCAAGCAAUUCUCUUGCCUCAGCCUCCUGAGUAGCUGGGAUUACAGGCACGUGCC